GAUUCGGUGGAUAGAUAAGUUGUAGAAAGAUCAAUUCAGUGGGAAACACAUCUUCAAUUAAUCACACUCACACUAAUGGCUUUCUCUUUAGGAAUCAACUCCUUCCGCUUCUCACCUAUUAUUUGUUAUGCGAAUCCCAAUCACUUUCACUCCAAUGAUGCCGCCUUUAUCAAACGCGCUGCCGAGUUAGCCGACAAGUCCGCCGGCUUCACCUCCCCGCACCCGAAUUUCGGCUGCGUCAUAGCCACUCCAUCGGGAAAUGUUGCCGGGGAGGGCUAUUUAUACGCGCAGGGGACA
rnacentral:misc_RNA from 1 species